rnacentral:misc_RNA from 1 species
UCAAUCAAUUUAUUUAUAAAUUAACAAAAAGUGGUUGAUUUAUAAGACAGAUAAGUACAUAGAAAUAAAAUAAACCAAACAGUUGUUUAUAGUGGGUAAUUUUAAUGAAAAGGUUGAAGAGAGAUGAAGGAAUAAGAAAGGACUUAGCAAAAGACAUUAAACUGGAACUGUUUAACGCGUUGGCAUCAGGAAGCGUUGACGGCGUCGCGACGCCCUCGAAAUUUAGGCAUUGUGUAUCGUACGAAGUGAGAAGGAGGGAGCAUCGCGACGCCACCGCGGGUCCCUAUUACCAGCCAUAAACGAGACUCAGAGGCGCAUAACGAAUAGAACAGAGUAUCGUAAACUGCUAAUAUAACCGAGCAGUAGUAGUGGUAGUACGUGGUGGCGACGUCGUCGUCGUCGUCGUCGUCUGGUGCAGCUUCUGCAUCGCAGGAUUCGUUUCGUCCCGGUUUCGCACUGAACGAACACGAACAGGACGGACGUAGCUUUCGUAUAGCCUACGGAGGCUGCUAUCAAAACUCACUUCCACGAGUUAUAGCCGCAUAAAACACGGUUGCACUGUACACUCCGCACAUGCACAUUCCCCCACCGUUCAAGUCGUAAAUGGUCGUACCCUUUGCCCCGCCACAGCCGUUCGCGAUGCAAUCCUGCACAACUUCACUCCACUUUGGCAUUGCAAGACCGAUAGUUCAUUUUCUAGCAGAGACAGUUCAUAUAAGCGUGUGUCCACCUAGACAGCCGCCGGUUGAUACUUAGAAUACCAAAAACCUUGUUCUCCCUAUCGUACUCGUCGUCGUCGACGUCGUACACGUGGACCUCACGUUCAGUGCUACUCUCACGUUGUCUCCUACUCUCUAUACACCGCCAACAGUGCCUCGUGCUCUCGCAACUGCUGACAGUUCUCUCUUAACCUGUUGCUCGCACGCAACAUAUAAAUCCGGGGAUUCCGGGGAUCCAAAAAAAAGAUCAAAUUUUAAUUAUCCUCCCUCACUUAGAAACAUUAAUAAAAUUAAAAAAAUAAAUAUUAUAAUAAACUCUUUCAAAAACUUUAAAUUACAACCGUGAUUUCUUCAUUUCCUUGAAUUCGUUGUUAGUGGUGAUCAUGUCCGAUCAACAGGAUUACGAGACGAAGAUGGACCUAAACGCGUCUAGUACAUCGAGCAGUCCGAGGACACCGCCAAAUUGCGCUCGAUGUAGAAAUCACCGGGUAAAAGUCCCGCUGAAGGGCCAUAAAAGAUACUGUAAGUACAGGCAUUGCAAGUGUGAAAAAUGCCGGCUUACUUCCGAAAGACAGAGAGUGAUGGCAAUGCAAACCGCACUUCGUCGAGCACAAGCUCAAGACGAAGCAAUGUUAAGGCAAGGGGUGAUUCCCCAAUCGAAAAGCCCUGCACCGCUUCAUAGUGGCCCCGACCGAACAUACGAAUGUGAAUCACCAGGAUCUUCAUCAACACCAACUUUUCCGGAAGUUGUCAGGAAAGCGCCGAUGGAACCAAUCAGAGAUAAUUUGGGGAAUAACAAUAUUGGCCAAAAAGAUUUAAUUCAAGAAAGCUUACAACUAUUAGAAAAGUUCCGAUAUUCGUGGGAAAUGAUGCCAUUGAUUUAUGCGAUAGUCAAAGACACUCCAGAUCUCGAAGAAGCGUCAAAACGUAUAGAUGAAGGGCAAAGGGCAGUGAAGGAAUACUCAAUAAUCAACAACCUCAACAUGUACGACGGUGGAGAGCUACGUUAUCCUACUCAUAAGAGGGCGCAAGAACGACGAUCUUCCGGGACCUUCAAACCAAUCGGCGGCGUUAAUCUUCAGCGUUUAAUGAUUCAAACCUGGCUUUAUUAAUACAAAAAGAAUGAUCCGGCCUUAACGAAGAGUAUUAUUACAAUAAAUUUAAAGUAGAAAACUAACGUUCAAGUGUAAAAUAUAAUUAUUAAGACUACAUAUUAAGCCAAUUUUUUAUGAAUCAGUAUUUUUUAACGAAGAAGCCUCAAUUAUUUUGCUUAUAAGUAUUACAUAUUCUUUGCGGCAUUAUUACAUUAAUUUAUCUGCGCACCUAUUAUCAACAAAAACGUAUAAUAAAGGUAGAGAUGCUGAACAACUGGUGGAUUUUUUUAAUAAAAUAAAGGAUAGGUUUCACUUAUCCUGGAAAAUGAUCUCACUUAUCCACGUCAUCCUAAAGAACGCUAAGGACGAUCAGGAGAAAGCUUUUAGACAAAUCGAUGAAGCAUUCCUGGAGGUACAGGCUUUAGCAAAAUACUAUCCAACACCGGUUAACCUCAUCACUGACCCAUGGAGAUGGUAUUCACCUACAGCACUUUACCCGGCGAUGUACUAUCAACUACCUAAUACCCUUCUUGGAAAUAUUCCACCGAGUCCACCUUUACAUUCACCGGUACCACCCCCAAGACCUAGAAGUAGAGCGUGA